AUAGGCGAACAUUGUAAUACCUAGAAACCUCCCACCGUAAGAGCGAGCGGAUGUAUAAAGGAGCCAGGCUACGGAUGAAAGAAUAGAAGGAGUUUAAAAGCGAAUCAGUGCGUACUGUCAUUCUGCCCGAAUUUCUAACAAGUCUUUCGUUGUAUACAUCGUAUACUUCUGCGGAAAGACAAGACUUAUUAUUUAGUGCGUAUAGCACCGGCAGUUCCUUAUCAUUUAUCCUUGUGAUUAAACACUGGCAACAUUCACGUACUUACGUAGCUACAGCGAUUCCGUCCCAUGAAAGAUCGAUUUUCUUUCUUACAUCGCCGUUUCUCGCCUCGAUUCGGACAUGAUUACGCCGCUAAUCAAUUACAUCAGUUGUUAAUGUAAUGCAAAAUAUUUGCAGUCUUUUACUGGCAAUAUAACCCUCCAUAUUAAAAAAGUGUAUUGGAAGUCAUUAAAAUUCAUUUUUAUGAA